rnacentral:rRNA from 1 species
UACGAAGGGGGGCUAGCGUUGCUCGGAAUCACUGGGCGUAAAGGGUGCGUAGGCGGAUUUGUAAGUCAGGGGUGAAAUCCCGGGGCUCAACCUCGGAACUGCCUUUGAUACUGCAAAUCGUCGAGUCCGAUAGAGGGUGGGUGGAAUUCCUAGUGUAGAGGUGAAAAUUCGUAGAUAUUAGGAAGAACGACCGGGUGGCGCAA